rnacentral:rRNA from 1 species
AGAGUUUGAUCCUGGCUCAGGAUGAACGCUGGCGGCGUGCUUAACACAUGCAAGUCGAGCGAAGCGCUUUUGCGGAUUUCUUCGGAUUGAAGCAAUUGUGACUGAGCGGCGGACGGGUGAGUAACGCGUGGGUAACCUGCCUCAUACAGGGGGAUAACAGUUGGAAACGGCUGCUAAUACCGCAUAAGCGCACAGUACCGCAUGGUACCGUGUGAAAAACUCCGGUGGUAUGAGAUGGACCCGCGUCUGAUUAGCUAGUUGGUGGGGUAACGGCCUACCAAGGCGACGAUCAGUAGCCGACCUGAGAGGGUGAUCGGCCACACUGGGACUGAGACACGGCCCAGACUCCUACGGGAGGCAGCAGUAGGGAAUCUUCGGCAAUGGGGGCAACCCUGACCGAGCAACGCCGCGUGAGUGAAGAAGGUUUUCGGAUCGUAAAGCUCUGUUGUAAGUCAAGAACGAGUGUGAGAGUGGAAAGUUCACACUGUGACGGUAGCUUACCAGAAAGGGACGGCUAACUACGUGCCAGCAGCCGCGGUAAUACGUAGGUCCCGAGCGUUGUCCGGAUUUAUUGGGCGUAAAGCGAGCGCAGGCGGUUUGAUAAGUCUGAAGUUAAAGGCUGUGGCUCAACCAUAGUUCGCUUUGGAAACUGUCAAACUUGAGUGCAGAAGGGGAGAGUGGAAUUCCAUGUGUAGCGGUGAAAUGCGUAGAUAUAUGGAGGAACACCGGUGGCGAAAGCGGCUCUCUGGUCUGUAACUGACGCUGAGGCUCGAAAGC